AUAAUGAUACUUCUGUAAUUCGCAGCCCGGCCAUAAUGCAGGUGGGGAGAUGAAAUUUCUAUG
rnacentral:ncRNA from 1 species